CUCCAAUGCUUUGUUGUGAUAGGUUCACUUUACUAUCUCUAUAAUUUUAUUAAGUCAAUAUACCAAAUACAGGCUCAGUUACUUACAAACGUCUAAUCAAACAUCAGGGGGUUUAUUCAAUAAGCACAAAAUCACAGUGGGUUGGAAACCAAAGUGCCAAAAUGAGGCAACAAUAGCCAAAUUAAUUCUCUAAGUGAACUAUAUUUACAACUUUUUAACUCCCACUCUAGUGAAUAAACCGGUCAGGCUUUUUAACUAAUGUGUAUACGUAUAUGUAGCGGAGAUGCAAUAUUCCCCAGGUUAUCUCCGCUUAUAAUCCAAGUGAGGCUCAGGAACAAGUAAAUAGUAAAUCCACAGGCAAGG